rnacentral:rRNA from 1 species
UACAGAGGGUGCGAGCGUUAAUCGGAAUUACUGGGCGUAAAGCGUGCGCAGGCGGUUCGCCAAGUCAGGUGUGAAAUCCCCGGGCUUAACCUGGGAAUUGCGCUUGAAACUAGCGGGCUUGAGUGUGGCAGAGGGGGGUGGAAUUCCACGUGUAGCAGUGAAAUGCGUAGAGAUGUGGAGGAACACCGAUGGCGAAGGCAGCUCGCUGGGUCAACACUGACGCUCAUGCACGAAAGCGUGGGGAGCAAACAGG